CUUGCGGUGAAGGAUCCUGAAUAUGAGCAGUGGCAGAUGUUUAAGGAGAAGGUUCGUUAGAGCCGACAUUUAUCCCGAUCAGACAGAGGAAUCACAGGGAGCAAACAACAGUCUGUGGUUAAAAGAGUUCAAGAAUUUUGUUGAGAAAUCUGUCCGCGACCAAGGCAGUUCAUACUGGAUUGGAAAAUGCAACUAUGGGAGAGUGGCCUCGAAUAUCGUGUUCCAAAUGAAGGCUGGAGUCUUCGAAUGCAUUGAAUGUGGAUGGUACCCUCACUUUGAACAUUGCAGUGAGGAUAAGCGUUGCUUCAUCUGCGAGAAGUCGGCGCUUCUGUGCUC